AGGACGAACGCUGGCGGCGUGCUUAACACAUGCAAGUCGAACGAGGCGCUUGCGCCUAGUGGCGAACGGGUGAGUAACACGUGAGCAACCUGCCCUUGGCUCUGGGAUAGCCUCCGGAAACGGGGAUUAAUACCAGACAUGACCUUCUCCUGCAUGGGGGAGGGUGGAAAGUUUUUCGGCCAGGGAGGGCUCGCGGCCUAUCAGCUUGUUGGGGGGGUAACGCCCACCAAGGCGACGACGGGUAGCCGGCCUGAGAGGGCGACCGGCCACACUGGGACUGAGACACGGCCCAGACUCCUACGGGAGGCAGCAGUGGGGAAUAUGCACAAUGGGGGAAACCCUGAUGCAGCGACGCCGCGUGCGGGAUGAAGGCCUUCGGGUUGUAAACCGCUUUCAGCGAGGGGCGAAUUCAGACGGUACCUGCAGAAGAGCGCCGGCUAACUCGCGCCAGCAGCCGC
rnacentral:rRNA from 1 species